rnacentral:tmRNA from 1 species
GGGGGUGCACCGGUUUCGACGGGGGUGCGGCAGGGAGGCUGCAGGCCGAGUUCUCCGUACACUCGCUAAUCAGACGGAAAGGCAUAUAAAUGCCAACAACUUUGCUGUUGCUGCUCCUUCCCUGAACUAAGCGAAGGAGCAUGUUCUGGGUAGCGUUGGGCUCGUAGCGCUGCGCAGAACACCGACUAUACGGGCCUACCUCACGAUCGGCCGCGGGCCGUGGGGGAAUUCUUAAAGGCGGCUAGGGUCGGCUGAUCUUGUCCGACGGGAGCGACCGAUCUGAACUUUAAAGCAUCGGACUAAGCCUGUAGAUGCCAAACGAAAGCACCUUCGGACGCGGGUUCGAUUCCCGCCACCUCCACCA